GUCGAGGCUAGACUUACAUCCUGGCAUUCUCAUUGUCCUGUUGUGCUAUAGUACUCUGAGGAAAACACUUUGUUGCUGAUUCAUUGGCUGUAGUCUGUGGCCUAGCCAAUCACCAGUUCAAAUACAGAU